GCCACAUGGUACAGGACAUCCCUUUGGCCAGUUUGGGUCAGCUGGCCUGGUUCUGUCCCCUCCCAGCAUCUUGUGCAACCCCAGUCUCCUGACAGAGCGGUGUGGGAAGCCGAAAAGUCCUUCAGUUAGUGUAAGAACUGCUCAGCAACAACUAAAACAUCAGUGUGUUAUCACUGUUAUUCUCAUCCCAAAUCCAAAACACAGCACCAUGCCAGCUACUAGGAAGAAAAUUAACUCUAUCGCAGCUGAAACCUGGACAUGUAGUUAUUCCUUGCUGGAUUGAAUCUUUCAGUCAUAAAGUAUGUAAUAUUUAUCUAACACUGCAGCUAGAGUGAAAAUGAAAGAAAUCUGUAAUACAUAGCACGGGUAUGAACUUCCAAACUCUGAAUUCAAGCCAAAGAAUGUCUCAGGCAUUUCUAGAAGAAAAGCCACAAGUGAUAUGUUUCAGCAUCAGUCUGCAGAGUGGCAUGAGUCUGAACUAAGAAUGAAUGGUGCUUUCUAGCUUGUCAUUAAAUCAUUUCUUUUUUUAAUUUAUUUUUUUUUUUAUAAACUGACUUACAUUGUAAUGCAUUUAAGGUUAUUCUUAAAAAUAAAAAUAAACAAGGCAUUUCUGUUCUAGGUCUUAA